CCAUUAGAUGUUCUGGGCCGCACGCGCGCUACACUGAUGCAUUCAACGAGUUUCUUCCUGGUCCGAGAGGAAUGGGUAACCUUUUGAAAGUGCAUCGUGAUAGGGAUAGACUAUUGCAAUUAUUGGUCUUCAACGAGGAAUUCCUAGUAGACGUAGUUCAUCAGACUGCAUCGAUUACGUCCCUGCCCUUUGUACACACCGCCCGUCGCUCCUACCGAUUGAAUGCUCAGGUGAGCCAUUCGGACUUUCAUCAUGCUGGUUUCCAGUUUUGAUGAAGGAAAGUCUUGCGAACCUUAUCAUUUAGAGGAAGGAGAAGUCGUAACA
rnacentral:rRNA from 1 species